rnacentral:rRNA from 1 species
AGGAGUUUGAUCAUGGCUCAGAAUCAACGCUGGCGGCGUGCCUAACACAUGCAAGUCGAGCGAGAAAGGAGACUUCGGUCUCUGAGUAAAGCGGCGCACGGGUGAGUAACGCGUGGGUAAUCAACCUUCGAGUGGGGAAUAACAGCGGGAAACUGCUGCUAAUUCCGCAUGAUGUUCACAGACUUCGGUUUGUGGACCAAAGCCGGGGACCUUCGGGCCUGGCGCUUGGAGACGAGCCCGCGUCCGAUUAGUUUGUUGGUGGGGUAAUGGCCUACCAAGACUUCGAUCGGUAGCCGGCCUGAGAGGGCGGACGGCCACACUGGAACUGAGACACGGUCCAGACUCCUACGGGAGGCAGCAGUGGGGAAUUUUUCGCAAUGGGGGAAACCCUGACGAAGCAACGCCGCGUGAAGGAUGAAGGCCUUCGGGUCGUAAACUUCUGUCAACCGGGAGGAAACCGUCCAGUCGAAUAGGCUGUGGCGUUGACUGUACCGGUGGAGGAAGCUCCGGCUAACUCUGUGCCAGCAGCCGCGGUAAUACAGAGGGAGCAAGCGUUGUUCGGAAUUACUGGGCGUUAAAGGGCGCGUAGGCGGCCCAGCAAGUCUUGUGUGAAAUCCCCCGGCUCAACUGGGGAACUGCACAGGAAACUGCUGGACUUGAGUUCGGGAGAGGGAAGCGGAAUUCCGGGUGGUAGCGGUGAAAUGCGUAGAUNUCCGGGAGGAACACCCGGUGGCGNAAGGCGGCUUCCUGGNACCGACACUGACGCUUGAGGCGCGAAA